ACUGGCAGGCUAGAGUCUUGUAGAGGGGGGUAGAAUUCCAGGUGUAGCGGUGAAAUGCGUAGAGAUCUGGAGGAAUACCGGUGGCGAAGGCGGCCCCCUGGACAAAGACUGACGCUCAGGUGCGAAAGCGUGGGGAGCAAACAGGAUUAGAUACCCUGGUAGUCCACGCCGUAAACGAUGUCGAUUUGGAGGUUGUGCCCUUGAGGCGUGGCUUCCGGAGCUAACGCGUUAAAUCGACCGCCUGGGGAGUACGGCCGCAAGGUUAAAACUCAAAUGAAUUGACGGGGGCCCGCACAAGCGGUGGAGCAUGUGGUUUAAUUCGAUGCAACGCGAAGAACCUUACCUG
rnacentral:rRNA from 3 species